rnacentral:snRNA from 1 species
GGCUCGAAUGGUAACGCAGGAGGGCGUAAGGACAAAACCAAGGCCAAGGCUGGCAAGGCCGGAAAGGGCGCAAAGGCGGGCGCCCGCCGCAAGAAGGUCAAGGCAGCGUGA